CAGAGGGUAGUUUAAUGUAGAGCGCGGGCUUUGGGAGCCGGCGGCGGGAGUUUGAACCUCUCCUCUCUGA
rnacentral:tRNA from 1 species